CGGAAGCAGCCGCGAGGUGCCCCCAGGGGCGGCUCGAUGUCUCCCGGAGUCUGGGAGCUGGGGUUCGACCAGUCUGGUUACACCUUGGUUGAGUCUCUCUCCGCAGGAUUUGCAGGAGUGCAAGACAUUGAGUUCAAGGGAAAUGGUGUGGUGUGGUGUGAUGAAACUUUUACACCAGAAGUUCCUGGCUUGCAGAUCUGCCUCUGCCCGCUCCGCUGGAAAACAUCUUGUGAAUGUAUGUACUGCUUCAGGCCUGAGUGAGGUGUGUGUCGCGACAGUCACUGUGAGGAGCUUCCUUGUGGUCUGAGUUUUCUAUCUUGUUCUGUGACAACAGCGAUGCUGUUGAACAAGGCUGUCCAGCUUAAGGGCUGUCACAACUUAUACUGACACGGGUGGUGGUGUGUGAGUGACCACUGUGAAGAACUGUGAAGAACUCUACACCCUUAUGUACUGGAUUUUAGGAAUCUUUUACUAGAAGGAAUAGAAAAUAUUGGUACGCAGUAAAGUCUAAUCAUCGUUUGAAGACUGGCUCUCCAUAGAUUUCUUCCAGGAAUUUCACAUGUGUUUAUUCUUGUGACAAACUAAAAUAUAUCCUCUAUAUUGACUAGAGGUCUUUGGACUAAAGAUCUUGAGGCAGAGGUUGAAGUUUUAUCUAUCUUUGCACGGACAGCCCCCUACUCUCCUAUGCACUAUGUUCUAAAUAUGUGUGUGAACACCAGUCGGUAUUUCUCCCAGUGAUAAAGUUAAGGGUAAAAUGGUAUUUUUAGGUUCACAACUGUGGAGACUAAUGACUUUUGUAUCUUUUUCUUUCCCUCUGUUCUUCCUUCUUAUCUGAAAGUUCAUUAAAUAUGGGUUUGUAAUUUGGGUUGUUAUUAAAUUACUUUUGAUGUUGUGUGUA